UUUAUACUUAAAUAAUCAAUUUUAAAUUGCAUAGCUAUUAAAAAGCUCUGUGCUCUUUAGAAUCACCCUUCCCGCCCCCCCUCCACACACACACACACACACACACACACACACACACACAGGUUGUAUAAUGGCUUCACUAACUCUUGAAUGAAUAUCUCCGAAACAAGUGGAUGCCAGAUUCUUUCCCAGAGGCCAGGUUUCAUCAUGUUCCUGGUUCUUACAUUUUAGAAUAGGAAGCUGAAUUUCCCUUUUUAUCCAGAAAUUAUAUUUACAAAAGAUUAUUCAGAUAAGGAUACGACUAUUUGCAAAGGACACAAAUAUUUUCAAAAGAAUAGCACAAAUAAAAAUAUCUUUAAGUUUCAAAUAAAUUAUAUUUCAAAUGACUUUAAAAUAAGUGUUUUGUAAGUUGGCCAAAUCUGAAGAUAUUUCUCCAAUUAAAAACAGAAACUAGGCCUGGCACGGUGGCUCACACCUGUAAUCCCAGCACUUUGGGAGGCCGAGGCAGGAGGAUCACUUGAGCCCAGGAGCUCGAGACCAGCUUAGGCAACAUGACAAAACCCUGUCUCUACAAAAGAAAUACAAAAAUUAGCCAGGCAUGGUGGUGUGUGCCUGUGGUCUGAGCUACUUGGGAGGCUGAGGUGGGAGGAUCACCUGAGCCUGGGAGGCCAAGGCUGCAAUGAGCUGUGAUCGCGCCACUACAUUCCAGCCUAUGUGAUAGAGUGAGACCCUGUCAAAAAAUAAA
rnacentral:lncRNA from 1 species